ensembl:lncRNA
CUCAGAGUGUGUGUGUGUGUGUGUGUGUGUGUGUGUGUGUAUACGUCACCCCAGUGUGGGGGUGCCUUUUUCCAGACAUUUCAUUGGGGCAGUGUGUGCUUGAGGAGGUUCUGUGCCCAGUCGACUUGGCAACCAACAUGUGAAUGUGUCUGUGUGUGUAGUACUGUGUGUGUGUGUGUGUGUGUGUGUGUGUGUGUGUGUGUGUGUGUGUGUGUGUGUGUGUGUGUGUGUGUGUAGUACUGCAUGUGAAUGUGUGUGUGUGUAGUACUGCGUGUGUGUGUGUGUGUGUGUGUGUUGCUGCAUGUGAAUGUGUGUGUAGUACUGCGUGUGUGUGUGAAUGUGUGUGUGUGUAGUACUGCAGACGUUUCUCCACUCAUUACCAGCUGCAGACCUUAGCCUGCCUGCCCAGUGUGUUAGCCCUCGGAUGGCUACUCUUGUCAUCGACAGCGUUCUCACACCCCACCAUCUCUCCUGUAUAUGAUUUUUUUUUUUUACAAAUCAGAUUUGAAAUCUUUAGAAAUGGGCAAGCUUCUUAUUGGAAAGUAGAAAUGUAGAACUUUCACGUUUAGUAAGUCAAAAAAAAAGAGAAUCUGUAUGGAAUGAUUUCUGUUCUUUUGGUUUUCAUUGUAACUUGUCAAUCUGAUUUCAGUCAUUAGAAUUGGUGCUGACUAUUGUUUAACUCCUAUUUACUCCAGUGAAGGGUGCAAUAUUGGAUAUGUAAUGUUCAAAUGCUGCUUUAUAGAAUUUGUAACCGGUGCCAAAAAGGCUCCCCUUCUCAAAAAAAAAAAAAAAAAAGAAAAUCUUUAACCCAUCAAUAAAAAAUGGCUUGUGAAUGUGUUCUGUAAUUUCUUGGAUGGUGUGUCUUAAAAUUAAACAGUGAUUUAUUUCAAAAGUCUAUAUUUUAAAUAGUCUUCCAGUUUUUCGUCCUAUUUUUAGGACCAUCAAAAAUACAAAAUGAAGCCUGAUCUAAAAUGAGUUUCUUUGAGAACAUUUAGAAGCAAGCUAUGGAGAACAACCAAUGGAGGUUCAGCAUUUAGGAGCUACUGAGUUCAAAUCGACAAGGUUUUUCGUACCAGUUACGCGUCUAAAACUCUGCCCUUCUGAAUAUUCUCAUCGCAUCAGUUGGUUUUUGCCCAGCUGAAGUGCAGCCUGAUGUUAAUCCCGCACAACUGACCAGAACGCUGAAGUGGAUGGAUGGAUCGAUGGAUGGAUGGAUGGAUGGAUACUUUAUUAAUCCCGAGGCAAAUUUAGUGCAGCCUGAUGUUAAUCCCACAGAACUGACCAGAACGCUGAAGUGCAGCCUGAUGUUAAUCUGACCAGAAU